UACGUAGGUGGCAAGCGUUGUCCGGAUUUACUGGGCGUAAAGGGCGUGCAGGCGGUUUGUUAAGUCUAGGGUGAAAGCUCCCGGCUCAACUGGGAGAGGUCCUUGGAUACUGGCAGACUUGAGGAGAGUAGAGGAGAGUGGAAUUCCCGGUGUAGUGGUGAUAUGCGUAGAUAUCGGGAGGAACACCAGUGGCGAAGGCGGCUCUCUGGGCUCUACCUGACGCUGAGGAACGAAAGCGUGGGGAGCGAACAGG
rnacentral:rRNA from 1 species